UCAACUGUCCCGGAGCUGAACCGAUCGCGUGCAGUGCUUACACAGACUAUAUGUGUAGGUGUAGCGCGCCAUUUGCACGCAUUUGACGGUGUUUCUGCGUUCUUUUGCUGAAGUGGUUUGAAAAAGAAAAUAUGUACCAUCGACAUCAUCAUCUUUUUGUUCUUUUCUUGUGAUGGACAUUAGUAGGGCACGGGGUACAUACACUGUGGCGUUUAGGUGGCUCAGCCGUUUCGAAUUUGGAUGUAGGUAGUGGAGUGGCGCUUGUUUUCUUUCGAAGUGUGACGAAGACUACUAGGAAUCAGGUCCUGUGCAUCAAGCAGAUACACAUGCUGGAGGAGCAGUACAGAGAGAGGUUGGAAAUCUCAUUGUUCAGAUCUUCUAAAGAAAUGGCAUAAUGCUUCAUCAUGCACCUUAGAAUUUCCAG